rnacentral:lncRNA from 1 species
AAAAAACUGAGACUUUCAGAGAUUAACUUGCCAAAGUUCAAUGGCUAGUGAGUAGCCACAUCAAGAUUUGAACCAGAUCUAGAUCUCACGCUUCAUGCUUUGACUAUCUCUACCACCUGUAGGAGAGACAGCACAAGAGGAUGAGAAAAUUGAAGCUCCAAAUUAGUUUGUGCAAGAUCACAAACUAUUAAGAGGCAGAACCCAUUUGCAGACUGCGUCUUGAGAUCCCACGCAGAACCUCGCAGCUGAGUGUCCACUGUGGAUAAGAUCACCUAGAAGCAAACUAGCACUCAGCUGAGCCCAUCCAGGGCCACCUACUGACCCUCCCCUACCAGUCCUGCCUCUCACCCCCCUACUCUCUCCCCCAGCGGAACAAGUCUGUCUUUUGUUCCAGGGGCAUGUUUCUGCCCUCCAUACACUUGUGG